GACUAUGGCCAUGACACCCUGAACAAGCCCAAUCCUGUCUGAUCUCGGAAGCUAAGCAGAGUUGAACCUGGUUAGUGCUUGGAUGGGAGACCACCUAGGAAGACCAGGUACUGUAGGCG
rnacentral:rRNA from 1 species